UUCUUCACACGGGCCACUUGCACGUAAAAUGUCUUCCUGAUUUAUUUAUUUUUUCCCCAACUCCAGUUGGAUAUUAAGAAAUCAUUAUUUUUAAGUAUAUACUGGCGGAAGUAAAUAAGGAACAACAAUUUUGAUUUUUCUCCUUCACUUUCCUCAUUCUCCCAGAAACUGCUGAUUUUGUCAGCUGUUGAGCUGUAUUUCUCCAUUUCUUGUAUGGGCCCAUGAAUUCUGGGCUUCCAAAUCCCAAGUGAAUAUCAGCCUCCAGCCAGAGCUCCCCUGUCUAGGGUACCAAGCUUGCUUGUGUGACCCUUGCUUCAAGGGCCCUCUCCUCGGAGACACAAUGGCUUCUGCCCCUGCCUGGGCUACAGAACUUUUUCGUGUGUUCAGUCUGCUCUUAGGAUCUUAGGGAAGAAGAGAAGAGUCCUGCCUGUACCAGUGUGAAUGCCUGUGCCUGGAAUGCUUGCCCACGGCUUCCCUGGGCUGGCUCCCUCUGGGAAGCUUUCCUCCACUCUUCCCAGAUUUCCCGUGAACAGCAUGCUUGUAGCACCAUGGCCGCUCACACCCCCUGUGCAGAUGGCAUUGGAUCGUCUCUCUCUCUGCCUAUAUUCUUCUCUGGAGCACAAGCUCUAAGGGUGGGAAUAUCAUUGUGUCCUCAGCACCUAGCUAGAUCCUUUGGACAAAGGAAAUACAGAAAACAGUUGACAAAAUAACUGAAUUCAGAAUCUUCAACUCAGAUUUCCGUGUCAGGAUCUAAAAACUGUCUGUGCAGCCAUUUGGACCUCAGUGUGAAGUGGUGUUAAAAGGUGAAGUCUAUUCUUCAGGAAGUAAACCUCUGCCAGGCGGAUCAUGCUCAGACAUUCGAUUGAAGUUUGUCCAACAGUUUCUUGCUUUGGAAGGUGUCCCUCUUGGUGGAACACAGUUUCACUUUUUGCUGGAACUCAGAGCUGCAAAUGAUGCUUAACAUACCAACGCUUUCUGACUGAGCUCCCCUCUACCCUGAAUACAAGAGACCCUAAUAGUUAUGUGGAAAUGUCAUCGCCCCUGUUCAGCAUGAAGUUACAGAAGAUGGACCUUCAUCCUUCUGCAACCCCUGGAUUAAGGGUCCUCUUGUAAAAGGGAGGGGGGGAAUAUGUAAGAAACAUUCAAACCACAGCGACUCCAUUUUGAACAAGGGCUAAAAAAAAUGAAGCUGGGUCCUGUUGGGCUGCAUUUCCCAGGUGGUUAAGCAUUCCUAGCCUCAAGAUAUUUACAAUUGAGGGGACAGAUUAAUAAUGUCUCCUAAACACACUCAGGACUUAACAGACCCAGGAAUGUCUUGAUACUUUGAGAACAAAAGCACUUCUAGUUUUAAAUAUGCAUUGUACCUAGGAUGGAUGCUUUCGUACUUUUGGAAAUGGCCUACCCUGUCUAUGGAGUCACUAUUCGUUCACUCCUUUAAUAAAGUUGCUUCUGUUUCGCA